UAUGCGUUGCAGCCAACAGGUGCCUCGUCCAUUCGGAGAGGUGAAAAGGGAAGCCGGUGCGAUUCCGGCGCGGUCCCGCCACUGUAAAUCGGGUUGCAUUCUCCAUGCCACUGUUUUCAUGUAAAACGGGAAGGGGAGGGUGUCUGAUACCCGCAAGCCAGGAGACCUGCCUGUUGGAGAUAGCCUUA
rnacentral:ncRNA from 2 species